rnacentral:rRNA from 1 species
AUGUUUCAGCAGCAUGCAUAUCCAGGUUGUAUGUCAAGCAAGCUAACAACUUAUGAGGGCAAAAACAUCACCACCAUCGGAAGAACUACUCUUGUCAAGUCCGUGAUCACCUCCCAAGCGGUCUACCCCGCCACACCGCUAGUUAUUCCGCCAACCAUCUUGCUCAAAGUCAACAAACUUCAUAGAGCUUUCCUUUGGUCCGGUUCGGACAAGACGAUGGGAGCGAAAUGCAAGGUGAACUGGGAGAUUGUUUGCCGGCCACUUCAAUAUGGGGGACUUGGGGUCCUUAACACCAACAAAUUUACACGUGCCCUCCGGUUGCGAUGGCCAUGGUAUGAAUGGAAGGAGCCCACCAAGAUGUCGGUGGGGAUGGGAAACCCAUGCGACGAGGACCUAAAUUUUUUCUAUGCAUCCACCACUAUCACCAUUGGCAACGGUGCGAAGACCCCCUUUUGGGACUCACCUUGGCUCCUUGGGCGCAAGCCAAAAGACAUUGCCCCGCUCAUUCAUGAAGCGUCAAAGAGAAAGAAUUGA